GUUAAGGCCGAAACCAGCCUGGGCUUGAAUCCCAGCUCUUUCCUCACAGUUGUGUGACCCAGGGGUAGGGCAUGAUCCGACCCCUGGGAGCCUCAGUUUCUUCAUCUGUGCGUGUGUGUUGCUAUAAUCACACGGCGCGGGGUUGCUCUGCGGCUGAAAGAGCUCCUGCACUUGAAUGGCAGCUCCACAAAGGCUGGGACCUGGUCUGUCUUGUUCAUCAGUGUAGCCCCUUGGUGUAAAAUAGAGCUUGGCACAUUGCAGUCACACAACAAAUAUUGGUGGAGUGGGUCCCGUGUGGCAGCGGCAAGUGCGGCUUCCUCACUCUGAGCCUUUCCUCACCGGGAACUCUCUUUAUGACAAUUCCUGCAUAUCAGGUGGUCUUGUCUCCUCGCCCAGGCUCAGUUCCAUCUGGCUGGCCAUGGUCACUGCCUCUCUUAGGAUGGAUUCCCCAAGAAGCCGACUUGCGGACCCUCUUGGCACACUGGAAGCCCUGACUGUGCCCAGGGCCCCACCUCACUGGUGUGCACAGGACCUGUCUGCUGGCCCACGGCUCAGGGCAUUUGCACUUCUGUGGGAGCUUUGCAGUCUUACUGGCCCACACUCCAGGAGCCCAGAAUCACCUCCCGAAUAAAUCUCAGGGGCAGCUCCUGGGGAACCACUUGAAGAGGAAGACGGCCAGGACGUCCUCCCUGAAGCCUGCCCAGCAGCCUGCCUCUUCCUCCCAGCCUUCCUCACAUGGUGCCCGCCCCACGCCCUUCUGGCUCUGGAGCCUCCAGCUCUCAUGCAAGCAGCAGAGGAAGACAACAUGCUCCGUGUCCCGUCCUCCGGUUCUCUCUGCUCCUGGGGGUCUUACAUCUCAUGCUGGGAGCCAAUGAUUCAUUCAUUCACCCUUUGGCGAAAUCCCUAGGACAUCAACCUGUCUUCCAGCAGCCUAACCUGGUGCCCAAAGCUGUCACUGACUCGUCCCAGCUUGCGCCCGAGCCAACCCGGCCUGGGCCAGUUAGAUCCCAGGGAGAAACGCGGCACAUCAGAAGGUCAGAGAGUUCAUUCAAAAUCAGCAAAAAUAAAAUUUAAUGGUGUGCCGCA